GUGAAACCGCUCAGUUUAAACUGUUAACGGUGCAGGGAACAACAAAAACAUAAUGACAUAAUAGCAAGUGCCUUAGGGGGAUUCUGAGAAGGGGAACCAAGUUUCUGUGAAAGGGAGGGGUGGAGCUUCAGCACCGAAUAUGAAAGUGAAUGGAGUUGAGGCUGAAAUCUGACUUCAGGAAAAGAAGGAUAAGUUUUCAUAAACAGAAACAAAGUCUGAGCCUAAAGUGAUAUCAAGAUGUCCAAGAAAAGUGUUUUUGUUUUACAAACUGGAAAUACACUAAAUUCCCACAAGGACUUCAUAGAUCAUCUUAAAAAACAAGUACCUCUGCAGGAGGUGUUUACAGUAGCUGAGUGUAAUUUCAUUCUGGUUUUCUGCCCUGUUGUGUUGCGAGCUGGAACUGACAUUGAAGC